CAGUGGUUCUGAGAAGCAGCAGCAGCACAGCCUGAGCAUGGUUUGCACCACGUUUGGGACAACAGUCCCGGCACCAAAAGCUAACCACUUACACACUUGGAUAACCAGGUCACUGCUUUCUGGAAGAAGCAGAGUCAACAUAACUACACCUUUGUCAUUGAGUCAUGCCAGCUCUUGCAAGACCUAAGAAGAACUGAAAAUGCUGGUUUUCUUCUUUUCUUUCUGUUCACAAGUGAUUAUUUGGGGAUUUGGAUAAGGAAUGAAGAGAUGCAGAGAGAUUUGUCAAGACAGGUUCUGUUAUAGUACAAAACACCAUAGUGACAUGAUGGACAGGAGUUUGGCAUGUCUGGGGGCUGCAGGAUGUGACUGGUGUUCAACCCUGACAUUCUUACCUUUGCUAUGGUCUCUGGGUAUGAAAAUAUCUGCAAACUGGUUCAAAACAAUCAUCCCCAUGCAAUAAUGGCUUUUGCUGACCCAAGAGCUCAACACUACACUAUUUGGUGCAAUCAAUCUGCCAAGGUACACACAUCACUGGCUACAUGGAAGGCACAUCACUGGCUAAGUGCAAGUCAAGAAGUAGCUGACUAUUUUCCUUCUGUUUUCAUACUCUGCAUUAAUCUCAAUCUGUGCAAGGUGAAUUCACAGCUUUCACCUCCCAGCACUUCAUACGGGGAGCACAGAGUUGCAGAUGCAAGCAAGGAAACUCAGUCUUCCCUAUGAAACCGUAUGCUUUCAUUAGAGCUGUUCCCACAAAACCUCCUCCCAGUCUCAGGCAAGAAGGUCAACUGUGAACCAGAAAACAUCAAAACAAAGUCUACACAUGAGAGAAAUUCAGUUUCCCAAUCCAGCCAGCUCAGCAUAACUGUCUUUAGGAGGCAUAUCCACAAGCUCCAACCACCUUCCUUAGUAAUCCUGA